AGGCCUUGACAUCCAAUGAAUCUGCUAGAGAUAGCGGAGUGCCUUCGGGAACAUUGAGACAGGUGCUGCAUGGCUGUCGUCAGCUCGUGUCGUGAGAUGUUGGGUUAAGUCCCGCAACGAGCGCAACCCUCACCUUCAGUUGCCAUCAUUUAGUUGGGCACUCUGAAGGAACUGCCGGUGACAAGCCGGAGGAAGGUGGGGAUGACGUCAAGUCCUCAUGGCCCUUACGCGCUGGGCUACACACGUGCUACAAUGGUGGUGACAAUGGGUCGCAAGCGUGCGAACGCAAGCUAAUCUCCAAAAGCCAUCUCAGUUCGGAUUGCACUCUGCAACUCGAGUGCAUGAAGUCGGAAUCGCUAGUAAUCGUGGAUCAGCAUGCCACGGUGAAUACGUUCCC
rnacentral:rRNA from 1 species